CAGGACCAUCACCGUCCGAGGCAACCGGCCCAGUAACGGAAGCUCGGAGGUUGACGGAGUUACCCAGAAGGAGGGCGAUUGAAAGAACGGUUGCCACGCAGAUAUUCAUUCUGCACAGGAUAACAACGAUUAAACUGAAACAAGUAAGAAAUUGAUGACGUGCAUGCCAUGAGCAGCCAGUGAUGCAA